UUCAGCCAGAAAUACAGUUUCAGACGGUAUUUCAAUAAAUAGUGGUGUUUAUUCCUUAAGCAAUAUCCCCAACUUCUUUGGCAUCUGACCAUAUUGUUUUUCAAACUAAAGACUAUAUAGGAAGAUUUUACUUUUCAGAUCAUUGUUCAAUACAUCAGGUUUACAGAGGUGUAGUUAACUUAAACAUACAUAUCAGUUAACAAACCUAGAAGAGAAAACCCAGGCCAGUAAAACACAGACAGCCAGGCUGCCUCCAUUGACAGCUGUGGAAUAACUAUUGGAUUGGUAUGAACUCUCCAACUUCCACAGCACAUGAGCCAACCAAUGCUUCUUAUUCACUUUGAACAAACAGAAGUAGAAAAGAAAAAAUGUAUUGUACUGGAAACAACUGAUUGAAUAAGUUAUGUUUCAAAACAAUGUUAUCUUAACUUCUACAGAGGUAAUCAACCAAAACCAAGUCACACACCGAUUCAGUAAGAGAUUGCACCUAAAAAAAGUCUAAUAACUAUUUUUCAUUUUCCAACAUAAGUUACUAAAGCAUUUUAAAUACAUCUAAGAAUACAGCUGUCAAAACUGCUUUUGAUGUCACGUUUGGAUAAAAAUUUCUUAAGCAACCAGUGUAUUCAAUCUACCCUCAAUAAUCCAGGAUCAUCUCUUCAAGGCUAAACACAGGAAUAUUUCACUUGCACUCCAUCAGAAAAAAAUCCAUCUUACAAAUCCCUGUAGAAGAGUUCAGUUCUUCAAAUCAACUAAAUUUCCAAAGCAACGACAAAGUUAUUUGACAUCUUCUACUAAUAUAUAUGUUACAGACAUAAUGAAUUAGAAUUAGAACACUGACAUACCAAUGCAGACAUUCUAGUGUAUUUCCUGGAAUCUAAAGUGAAUCCUUGUUUAGGUGUCAAGACGAUGUAAAAAAAAAUCCCAUUAACAAAAAACCUUCAUUUCCCAACAGAAUUUUAUAGUAUUCAAAUAUGCAUCCUGAAAAAUUCUGUAGAACAGAGGAGGCAAAGCAGUUAGUUCCAUGCAGUGUCAAAAAAAAAUUUAGUGUGAUUAAAGUAGCAAAUGAAGUGAAGUUUAUUUUCAUAGAAUGACUCUGGUAAGAAGGAUCUUCAGGUUUCAACCCCCAUAUUUACCCCUGCAUUUAUGAGUGAAUUUCCCCCUCAUCAGCAGUGCAAGACCAAUUUCUAAGCUGUCUAAAUAUCAAACAAUUGAGUUCAGCCAAGCUCACAUUUCUUUCAAUGAUGUUAAGAAAAACAAAAACAAAAACAAACUCAUACAUAUAUUCUACUGUAGAAUGCAGGAACAAAAACUAAAGAGAAAAGACCCCCAAAUUUGAGUACUUAUCCAAGAGCAGUUUCUAACAUCAAGCCAAAAUUAGCAACAACCAAGCAGACAUCACCAAUUUUUCAGUGUUAAAUUACUGUAGAUACUAGAUCUAACUGUACAAAAAAAAAAAAUCCCAAACCCAAAAAAACCAAAAGCAUUUUUAAAAUUUCAGAAUUUUUGUUGUUAAAAGGUGUCCAAAGAAAUAUCCCCUAGUUGCAGUCAAGUUUGCAUUAGAAGCUGCUUUUUCAGGAAAGGUUUAUCCUUCCAAGUAUUUCUAACACAUUGCAUUAUCUAGAUUUCAUUCAAAUAAAAUUUCUGAUAACAUUUAGCUGAUACAACCACCUACAGUGUGGAUAGUCAUGUACACAGUACAAUAGUGGAUCUUUGCAGCAACAGAUAAACAAUCAGAAAUUGGUUGUACAUUUGAAAAGAUAGCUCAUGUGUUAUUUCUCGCAAACAUACGGUCCCCUCUAAGGGUAAGGUGUUGGAGCUGGUAUUGUAGCACUUCUGUGUCAGCAGGUUCCUUAAUGCUCAUUUUGUCUAAAUUGAGGUAGUCCAGAGAUUUUGAGUGAGCCCUUUUACCUUUUAAAAGGCAAAGAGGCAGGGGACCAUGAAGUGCUUUGUAGGGUUCAUGCGGUAAAGCCUUAGUGCAUUUAUCCCCUGAGCUGGGCAUCCGUCUCCUCCUCCUUCCAUUUACUGCUGGAAUCUCAUAUGGCUGAUAAUACCUACUUCUAGCUUUGUACAAACGGGAGGAACGUGCAAGUCCUGAAUCAAGCUGUUUGGAGCGCAAGUUAGGCCCAGAUUCCCCUUUACUCUCUUCAUUCCCUGUACAUUUCUGGGCGAGUUUUAGUAGCUCCUCUCCAGUCGCGAAGCCAACCAGGUAGUUAGAAUCCAUGUGGAGGAUCUGAUAUCCCGAAACCGUCCGUCGCAUGGGUGAGCAGGGGGUACUGGAGCACCGUGGCUUCUCAGCUUCCGUUCGGCCUGCAGCACUCACCUCUGCCAUGGGCACUGGGAGCGUGGAUAUGGCACUUCUGGACUCUCCGUUGAUGUCAACUUCCAUUUUAGACACAGUGCUGUUCUCCUA
rnacentral:lncRNA from 1 species